rnacentral:rRNA from 1 species
GCACCUCGAUGUCGGCUCAUCACAUCCUGGGGCUGAAGUAGGUCCCAAGGGUAUGGCUGUUCGCCAUUUAAAGUGGUACGCGAGCUGGGUUUAGAACGUCGUGAGACAGUUCGGUCCCUAUCUGCCGUGGGCGCUGGAGAAUUGAGGGGGGCUGCUCCUAGUACGAGAGGACCGGAGUGGACGCAUCACUGGUGUUCGGGUUGUCAUGCCAAUGGCACUGCCCGGUAGCUAAAUGCGGAAGAGAUAAGUGCUGAAAGCAUCUAAGCACGAAACUUGCCCCGAGAUGAGUUCUCCCUGACUCCUUGAGAGUCCUGAAGGAACGUUGAAGACGACGACGUUGAUAGGCCGGGUGUGUAAGCGCAGCGAUGCGUUGAGCUAACCGGUACUAAUGAACCGUGAGGCUUAACCUUACAACGCCGAAG